rnacentral:rRNA from 1 species
CCUACGGGUGGCAGCAGUGGGGAAUAUUGGGCAAUGGGCGCAAGCCUGACCCAGCAACGCCGCGUGAAGGAAGAAGGCUUUAGGGUUGUAAACUUCUUUUCUCAGGGACGAAGCAAGUGACGGUACCUGAGGAAUAAGCCACGGCUAACUACGUACCAGCAGCCGCAGUAAUCCGUAGGUGGAAAUCGUUAUCCGGAUUUACUGGGUGUAAAGGGCGUGUCGGCGGGGACGCAAGUCAGAUGUGAAAACCACGGGCUCAACCUGUGGCCUGCAUUUGAAACUGUGUUUCUUGAGUACUGGAGAGGCAGACGGAAUUCCUAGUGUAGCGGUGAAAUGCGUAGAUAUUAGGAGGAACACCAGUGGCGAAGGCGGUCUGCUGGACAGCAACUGACGCUGAGGCGCGAAAGCGUGGGGAGCAAACAGGAUUAGAUACCCUUGUAGUC